AUUAUGGGGCGACAUAGCUCAGGAGGUAAGACCGAUUGUCUGGCAGUCGGAGGGUUGCCGGUUCAAACCCCGCCCUGGGCGUGUCGAAGUGUCCUUGAGCAAGACACCUAACCCCCAACUGCUCUGGCGAAUGAGAGGCAUCAAUUGUAAAGCGCUUUGGAUAAAAGCGCUAUAUAAAUGCAGUCCAUUUACCAUUUACCAUAUUUCCAAGUAUCUCUCCAGCUGUUCAAAGACGCUAAAGCAUAGCUGAGUGUAUACAAGAUGGUGGCACAGUGGAAUGGCUGUCCAUGAAAGGGGACUGGAUAUGCAUCACCGUCGACCAUUGAAACCUAAUACAUUGAACUUCAGGACAGUUUUCAACAAUUAAGCGAGAGCUUACAAACCAAGGCAAUGUCUCGAAAGUUAUUUUUUUUGUUAAGUUUUUGUAUCUAGUUAAAUUAUUUUAUUUGCUAUUUUGUACAGAGUAUUAUUAUGAUUGACUAAGACUUCUGAGUAGAGAAAGAGUAGGAAAUAAAGUUAGAAAUAUUAACUUGAAAAAAGAGUAGUAUUUUUUCUAAGGGUGGAUCAAGAUAAUUGAUUAUUCAGUUUUCUCACCCACUCCUAGAUCUCGCCCUGCAUCUCUGUCUCCUUGACUGAGUGCGUAAGAAUGAAUUGCAAUACAUCAGUAUGUAUAAAUGUCAUUAUAUGAUACCAUCAUACAAGUCGUAUAAAUCAACCUCCUUGUAUUUGUCUGGCAAUCUGCUAAAUGAAAAAUUUAUAGGUAUG